GACGAACGCUGGCGGCGUGCUUAACACAUGCAAGUCGAACGGAAAGACCCUGCUUUUGUGGGGUGCUCGAGUGGCGAACGGGUGAGUAACACGUGAGUAACCUGCCCUUGACUUUGGGAUAACUUCAGGAAACUGGGGCUAAUACCGGAUAGGAGCUCCUGCUGCAUGGUGGGGGUUGGAAAGUUUCGGCGGUUGGGGAUGGACUCGCGGCUUAUCAGCUUGUUGGUGGGGUAGUGGCUUACCAAGGCUUUGACGGGUAGCCGGCCUGAGAGGGUGACCGGCAACAUUGGGACUGAGAGACGGCCCAGACUCCUACGGGAGGCAGCAGUGGGGAAUAUUGCACAAUGGGCGGAAGCCUGAUGCAGCAACGCCGCGUGCGGGAUGACGGCCUUCGGGUUGUAAACCGAUUUCGCCUGUGACGAAGCGUGAGUGACGGUAAUGGGUAAAGAAGCACCGGCUAACUACGUG
rnacentral:rRNA from 1 species